rnacentral:lncRNA from 1 species
CUCUCCUAGUCCCUGAUGACGUUCCAGUGACUCCUCAGAUUCUGGGGCUGGCCGGGUCUCUUCUGACUAGAAAGAGGGCCUUGCAGAGCCACCCGGGUCCUCUCUUGGCACAGGUAAGCUUGGACAACUGGACAUUGGCCCCUGCGCAUGCCAGGGCACUGCAAGAGCAUCGCAAGCUUCUCAGACACAGGACCUGGAUGGAUGACAGUCUUUCCUUCAUGGAGCAGAAGAAGGAUGCCUCAGGAAGCUUCUGCACCAAGAAUGAGGCCUCAAAAGCAAGGCAGGUCUGUUAUAUCUGCAGCUGCAUCCUCAAGACAUGUGCUGUCUCUCCAAGUCAGGACAAGCUCAUGAGGUGGAUGGCCACUGAUUGAAGUCC